rnacentral:misc_RNA from 1 species
GAUGAAGAACGCAGCGAAAUGCGAUAAGUAAUGUGAAUCGCAGAAUUCAGUGAAUCAUCGAAUCUUUGAACGCACAUUGCGCCCGCUAGUAUUCUGGCGGGCAUGCCUGUUCGAGCGUCAUUUCAACCAUCAAGCCCCAGGCUUGUGUUGGGGGCCUGCGGCUGCCGCAGCCCCUGAAAAGCAGUGGCGGGCUCGCUGUCAUUCCGAGCGCAGUAGUUACAUCUCGCUCCGGGCGUGGCGGUGGGCACCUGCCGUGAAACACUCCUUCUAAGGUUGACCUCGGAUCAGGUAGGAAUACCCGCUGAACUUAAGCAUAUCAAUAAGCGGAGGA